rnacentral:rRNA from 1 species
UACGGAGGAUGCGAGCGUUAUCCGGAUUUAUUGGGUUUAAAGGGUGCGUAGGCGGAUUUUUAAGUCAACGGUAAAAUGUCCGGGCUCAACCCGGGCCGGCCGUUGAAACUGGGGAUCUUGAGUGGGCGAGAGGUAUGCGGAAUGCGUGGUGUAGCGGUGAAAUGCAUAGAUAUCACGCAGAACUCCGAUUGCGAAGGCGGCAUACCGGCGCCCGACUGACGCUGAGGCACGAAAGCGUGGGGAUCGAACAGG